rnacentral:misc_RNA from 1 species
GAUGAAGAACGCAGCGAAAUGCGAUAAGUAGUGUGAAUUGCAGAAUUCAGUUAAUCAUCGAAUCUUUGAACGCACAAUGCGCCCUUUGGUAUUCCAAAGGGCAUGCCUGUUCGAGCGUCAUUUGUACCCUCAAGCUUUGCUUGGUGUUGGGCGUCUUGUCUCUAGCUUUGCUGGAGACUCGCCUUAAAGUAAUUGGCAGCCGGCCUACUGGUUUCGGAGCGCAGCACAAGUCGCACUCUCUAUCAGCAAAGGUCUAGCAUCCAUUAAGCCUUUUUUUCAACUUUUGACCUCGGAUCAGGUAGGGAUACCCGCUGAACUUAAGCAUAUCAAUAAGCGGAGGA